rnacentral:tRNA from 1 species
AAAUAAGAAACAAAAAUUGUAAGCAGUUUCGACCUGUUAUUAGAUGUAAAAUCAUCCUUAUUUU